CCUUUUGUAUAAUGGGUCAGCGAGUUAUUGUCAGUAGCAAGGUUAACCGUUUAGGGGAGCCGUAGGGAAACCGAGUCUUAAUAGGGCGUUUUAGUUGCUGGUAAUAGACCCGAAACCGGGCGAUCUAGCCAUGGCCAGGUUGAAGGUGCCGUAACAGGCACUGGAGGACCGAACCCACCUAUGUUGAAAAAUGGGGGGAUGAGCUGUGGCUCGGAGUGAAAGGCUAAUCAAGCCCGGAGAUAGCUGGUUCUCCUCGAAAACUAUUUAGGUAGUGCCUCGCGUUUGACUGCUGGGGGUAGAGCACUGUGUCGGCUAGGGGGUCAUCC
rnacentral:rRNA from 14 species